CAUCCAGAUGCAGGAGAUACACGUGACUCCGAGAACAGUGGCUGCACCAGCUUGCAUUCCCAUAACUGCAUCUACAAUAUUACAAAGAAGAAAAACUUAAAUGCACAUAAAUGGCUUGCUGAAGAAAGAAACAGCUUCAUGUCAAGGCAACUUGGAAGUUGGAAGUUGAAGGAAACUGUUAUGUAAAUAAAGAAGACUGAUAAAACAGAAGAAAAUGGGGCAAGUAAAGACACCUUGUUCAG